AUUGAACGCUGGCGGCAUGCUUUACACAUGCAAGUCGAACGGCAGCGCGAGCUUCGGCCUGGCGGCGAGUGGCGAACGGGUGAGUAAUACAUCGGAACGUGCCCAGUAGUGGGGGAUAGCUCGGCGAAAGCCGGAUUAAUACCGCAUACGACCUGAGGGUGAAAGCGGGGGAUCUUCGGACCUCGCGCUAUUGGAGCGGCCGAUGGCAGAUUAGCUAGUUGGUGGGGUAAAGGCCUACCAAGGCGACGAUCUGUAGCUGGUCUGAGAGGACGACCAGCCACACUGGGACUGAGACACGGCCCAGACUCCUACGGGAGGCAGCAGUGGGGAAUUUUGGACAAUGGGCGAAAGCCUGAUCCAGCAAUGCCGCGUGUGUGAUGAAGGCCUUCGGGUUGUAAAGCACUUUUGGCGGGAACGAAAAGGACUGUGCCAAUACCACGGUUCGAUGACGGUACCCGCAGAAUAAGCACCGGCUAACUACGU
rnacentral:rRNA from 1 species